rnacentral:rRNA from 1 species
UAGAGUUUGAUCCUGGCUCAGGAUGAACGCUAGCUACAGGCUUAACACAUGCAAGUCGAGGGGAAACGGCAUUGAGUGCUUGCACUCUUUGGACGUCGACCGGCGCACGGGUGAGUAACGCGUAUCCAACCUUCCCAUUACUGUGGGAUAACCUGCCGAAAGGCAGACUAAUACCGCAUAGUCUUCGAUGACGGCAUCAGAUUUGAAGUAAAGAUUUAUCGGUAAUGGAUGGGGAUGCGUCUGAUUAGCUUGUUGGCGGGGUAACGGCCCACCAAGGCGACGAUCAGUAGGGGUUCUGAGAGGAAGGUCCCCCACAUUGGAACUGAGACACGGUCCAAACUCCUACGGGAGGCAGCAGUGAGGAAUAUUGGUCAAUGGACGGAAGUCUGAACCAGCCAAGUAGCGUGCAGGAUGACGGCCCUAUGGGUUGUAAACUGCUUUUGUAUGGGGAUAAAGUUAGGGACGUGUCCCUAUUUGCAGGUACCAUACGAAUAAGGACCGGCUAAUUCCGUGCCAGCAGCCGCGGUAAUACGGAAGGUCCAGGCGUUAUCCGGAUUUAUUGGGUUUAAAGGGAGCGUAGGCUGGAGAUUAAGUGUGUUGUGAAAUGUAGACGCUCAACGUCUGACUUGCAGCGCAUACUGGUUUCCUUGAGUACGCACAACGUUGGCGGAAUUCGUCGUGUAGCGGUGAAAUGCUUAGAUAUGACGAAGAACUCCGAUUGCGAAGGCAGCUGACGGGAGCGCAACUGACGCUUAAGCUCGAAGGUGCGGGUAUCAAACAGGAUUAGAUACCCUGGUAGUCCGCACAGUA